rnacentral:rRNA from 1 species
UUUCGAGUGGCGGACGGGUGAGUAACGCGUGGGUAACCUGCCUCAUACAGGGGGAUAACAGUUGGAAACGACUGUUAAUACCGCAUAAGACCACAGCACCGCAUGGUGCGGGGGUAAAAACUCCGGUGGUAUGAGAUGGACCCGCGUUCGAUUAGCCAGUUGGCGGGGUAACGGCCCACCAAAGCGACGAUCGAUAGCCGAUCUGAGAGGAUGACCGGCCACAUUGGGACUGAGACACGGCCCAAACUCC